GUGCUCUGACUUCAAGGGAGCAGAGUCUGGAGGAAGAGUGGAGAGGCACAUAGUCCAAGCUGCUUGAGGUCUAGUGUGAAGGUUCCAUCAAGCUCCAAUCAGUGAUGGUUUGGAGAGGAUUGGACUGUUUUUAAGUUGAUGUUCCAAAUCACGUGCUCACAUUUUACAGUGAAAAAAUGCAUAAGUGUGUGAGAGGACUUUGGCGGAGGCAGAGGAGGAUUAAUCUAGAAUUGUGUUUAAGGUGCAGUUAAAGUCCAAAUGCUUAAUAGUUUGCAUUUUAUUGUUCGGCACUUCGAUAAAAUAUUGGCCUCUGAUUUUUUGGCUCCUUAAACUAGUUUUUGUCUGGAGCCUUGAAAACAGAAAAAAUGGUUUUAAACUCAAAUAUACAAAAUAAUAUAUACAAACAAUGUACAGUAAUAAUGUUAAUAAUCU